UUUCCGUAGGUGAACCUGCGGAAGGAUCAUUACAGUAGUCGCCCGGGUUGCCGCCAGGCCUCCCGGGUAACCUACCACCCUUUGUUUAUUACACUUUGUUGCUUUGGCAGGCCUGCCCUCGGGCUGCUGGCUCCGGCCGGCGAGCGCUUGCCAGAGGACCUAAACUCUGUUUGUCUAUACUGUCUGAGUACUAUAUAAUAGUUAAAACUUUCAACAACGGAUCUCUUGGUUCUG
rnacentral:misc_RNA from 1 species